UACGGAGGAUCCAAGCGUUAUCCGGAAUCAUUGGGUUUAAAGGGUCCGUAGGCGGCCUUAUAAGUCAGUGGUGAAAUCUCCCCGCUCAACGGGGAAACUGCCAUUGAUACUGUAAGGCUUGAAUUAUUGUGAAGUAACCAGAAUAUGUAGUGUAGCGGUGAAAUGCUUAGAGAUUACAUGGAAUACCGAUUGCGAAGGCAGGUUACUAACGGUUGAUUGACGCUGAUGGACGAAAGCGUGGGUAGCGAACAGG
rnacentral:rRNA from 1 species